CCUACGGGAGGCAGCAGUGAGGAAUAUUGCACAAUGGGCGAAAGCCUGAUGCAGCGACGCCGCGUGAGGGAUGACGGUCUUCGGAUUGUAAACCUCUGUCUUUGUGGAAGAAAAUGACGGUACUCGAGGAGGAAGCUCCGGCUAACUACGUGCCAGCAGCCGCGGUAAUACGUAGGGAGCAAGCGUUAUCCGGAAUUACUGGGUGUAAAGGGGGCGUAGGUGGGAUAGAAAGUAGGAGGUAAAAUUCGUCGGCUCAACCGUAGGCUGCGUUGGAAACUGGCGUUCUUGAGUUAAGUAGAGGCGGGCGGAAUUCCUAGUGUAGCGGUGAAAUGCGUAGAUAUUAGGAGGAACACCAGUGGCGAAGGCGGCUCGCUGGGCUGUAACUGACACUGAGGCUCGAAAGCGUGGGGAGCAAACAGGAUUAGAUACCCCAGUAGUC
rnacentral:rRNA from 1 species